UCAGCAGGAUUGUGUAUUGGUGCUAUGCUCUAUAAAGCAUACCUGCCCUGAGUGUUUACUUGCUACAUUAAUUAUGCCGAAGAUGAGCAGUUGAGUUCUGACAUCUAAUUGUGCAUCUCAACAAUCAUCUUCCUCAUGUUU